rnacentral:rRNA from 1 species
UACGGAGGGUGCAAGCGUUAUCCGGAUUCACUGGGUUUAAAGGGUGCGUAGGUGGGCAGGUAAGUCAGUGGUGAAAUCUCCGAGCUUAACUCGGAACUGCCGUUGAUACUAUUGUCUUGAAUAUUGUGGAGGUAAGCGGAAUAUGUCAUGUAGCGGUGAAAUGCUUAGAUAUGACAUAGAACACCAAUUGCGAAGGCAGCUUACUACACAACGAUUGACGCUGAGGCACGAAAGCGUGGGGAUCAAACAGG